rnacentral:rRNA from 1 species
CAGCAUGCCGCGUGAGUGAUGAAGGUUUUCUUGAUCGUAAAGCUCUGUCUUUGGGGACGAAGAAAGUGACGGUACCCAAGGAGGAAGCCCCGGCUAACUACGUGCCAGCAGCCGCGGUAAUACGUAGGGGGCGAGCGUUGUCCGGAAUUACUGGGCGUAAAGGGCGAGUAGGCGGUUAUAUAAGUCAGAUGUGAAAUACCGGGGCUUAACCCCGGAGCUGCAUUUGAAACUGUAUAGCUUGAGUGCAGGAGAGGAAAGUGGAAUUCCCAGUGUAGCGGUGAUAUGCGUAGAUAUUGGGAGGAACACCAGUGGCGAAGGCGACUUUCUGGACUGUAACUGACGCUGAGGCGCGAAAGCGUGGGGAGCAAACAGGAUUAGAUACCCUGGUAGUCCACGCUGUAAACGAUGAGUGCUAGGUGUAGGGGGUAUCGACCCCUCCUGUGCCGCAGUUAACACAAUAAGCACUCCGCCUGGGGAGUACGGUCGCAAGACUGAAACUCAAAGGAAUUGACGGGGGCCCGCACAAGCAGCGGAGCAUGUGGUUUAAUUCGACGCAACGCGAAGAACCUUACCAGGGCUUGACAUCCCUCGCUAGCCGUGGAAACACGGUGUUCCCUUCGGGGACGAGGAGACAGGUGGUGCACGGUUGUCGUCAGCUCGUGUCGUGAGAUGUUGGGUUAAGUCCCGCAACGAGCGCAACCCUUGUCCUUAGUUGCCAACGUAAAGUCGUGCACUCUAGGGAGACUGCCGGAGACAAUUCGGAGGAAGGUGGGGAUGACGUCAAAUCAUCAUGCCCCUUAUGUCCUGGGCUACACACGUGCUACAAUGGGCUGUACAAAGGGUAGCGAAACCGCGAGGUGGAGCCAAUCCCAUAAAACAGCUCUCAGUUCAGAUCGCAGGCUGCAACUCGCCUGCGUGAA